UGGCGUGUAGCUCAUUUGGUAGAGCGCCUGACUUUUAAUCAGGAGGUCGAUGGUUCGAUCCCGGUCACGUCAA
rnacentral:tRNA from 1 species